GGGAAGAGCUCAAAUUUAUAAUCUGGCACCUUCGGUGUCCGAGCUGUAAUCUCUAGAAAUGUUUUCCGCGUUGGACCGCACACAAGUCUGUUGGAAUACAGCGGCAUAGUGGUGAGACCCCCGUAUAUGGUGCGGACGCCCAGCGCUUUGUGAUACAUUUUCGAAGAGUCGAGUUGUUUGGGAAUGCAGCUCAAAUUGGGUGGUAAAUUCCAUCUAAAGCUAAAUAUUGGCGAGAGACCGAUAGCGAACAAGUACCGUGAGGGAAAGAUGAAAAGCACUUUGGAAAGAGAGUUAACAGUACGUGAAAUUGUUGGAAGGGAAACGCUUGAAGUCAGACUUGCUUGCCGAGCAAUCGGUUUGCAGGCCAGCAUCAGUUUUCCGGGAUGGAUAAUGGUAGAGAGAAGGUAGCAGUUUCGGCUGUGUUAUAGCUCUCUGCUGGAUACAUCUUGGGGGACUGAGGAACGCAGUGUGCCUUUGGCGGGGGUUUCGACCUCUUCACACUUAGGAUGCUGGUGGAAUGGCUUUAAACGACCCGUCUU
rnacentral:rRNA from 1 species